AACGAACGCUGGCGGCAGGCUUAACACAUGCAAGUCGAGCGCCCCGCAAGGGGAGCGGCAGACGGGUGAGUAACGCGUGGGAACGUACCCUUUACUACGGAACAACUCCGGGAAACUGGAGCUAAUACCGUAUGUGCCCUUUGGGGGAAAGAUUUAUCGGUAAAGGAUCGGCCCGCGUUGGAUUAGCUAGUUGGUGGGGUAAAGGCCUACCAAGGCGACGAUCCAUAGCUGGUCUGAGAGGAUGAUCAGCCACAUUGGGACUGAGACACGGCCAAACUCCUACGGGAGGCAGCAGUGGGGAAUAUUGGACAAUGGGCGCAAGCCUGAUCCAGCCAUGCCGCGUGAAUGAUGAAGGCCUUAGGGUUGUAAAGUUCUUUCACCGGAGAAGAUAAUGACGGUAUCCGGAGAAGAAGCCCCGGCUAACUUCGUGCCAGCCGCCGCGGUAA
rnacentral:rRNA from 1 species